rnacentral:rRNA from 1 species
AACGCUGGCGGCGUGCCUAACACAUGCAAGUCGAACGGAGAUAUUAAUGAAGCUUGCGAUUUAAUAUCUUAGUGGCGGACGGGUGAGUAACGCGUGGGUAAUCUGCCCAUAAGUGGGGAACAACAGUUGGAAACGACUGCUAAUACCGCAUACGCUGUCGCAAGACAGGAAAGGUGGCCUCUGAAUAUGCUGCCGCUUAUGGAUGAGCCCGCGUCUGAUUAGCUAGUUGGUGGGGUAAAGGCCUACCAAGGCGACGAUCAGUAGCCGGCCUGAGAGGGUGAACGGCCACACUGGGACUGAGACACGGCCCAGACUCCUACGGGAGGCAGCAGUGGGGAAUAUUGCGCAAUGGGGGAAACCCUGACGCAGCGACGCCGCGUGAGCGAUGAAGGCCUUAGGGUUGUAAAGCUCUGUUUUAAGGGACGAAUGUUACGGGGAGUAAUAUGCCCUGUAAAUGACGGUACCUUAAGAGGAAGCCCCGGCUAACUACGUGCCAGCAGCCGCGGUAAGAC